rnacentral:rRNA from 1 species
AAUGGCCGGAUGACGACCACGACUUCCCGUUCGGGGGUUGGCGGACCAAAGAUGGCCUCUACUUGUAAGCUAUCGCUGGAGGGAUGGGCCUGCGGGCCAUUAGCUUGUUGGUGAGGUAACGGCUCACCAAGGCUGUGAUGGCUAGCUGGUCUGAGAGGAUGACCAGCCACACUGGGACUGAGACACGGCCCAGACUCCUACGGGAGGCAGCAGGUGGGGAAUAUUGCGCAAUGGGCGAAAGCCUGACGCAGCGACGCCGCGUGGGUGAUGAAGGCCUUCGGGUCGUAAAGCCCUGUCGCAGGGGAAGAAUAAGCAUCGGUAUAAUACGCCGGUGCCCUGACGGUACCCUGCAAGAAAGCACCGGCUAACUCCGUG